rnacentral:tmRNA from 1 species
GACCUUUCACAAUUGGUCUUUAGGAUCUAUAUUCGGAAUGUCAGGCUUGCCUGACUAUGACGAUAAACGUUUCUCGUAAUAAACGUUCGGACCCGGGGGCGGUACCCGGCGCCUCCACCAAAUUCACGAGUCAUGUGGCCUCGCCACAACUGCGAUGGGGGCGAAACAGGAUCGACGGGCGCGUAAAGGAUGAACUUUCGUUCGGUAUGGUACCACCGAUAUCGGGCCAUAUUCAUAGGUGCCAACGAUAAUGUUGAAACCUUCGCUGUAGCUGCCUAACACGCAGAAGCAAGCGCGGUUCGGGGGGCACCGGGCAACAGAAGCCCUCCACU